rnacentral:rRNA from 1 species
UACCGGAUAACAACAGAUGAUGCCUAUCAACUGUUUAAAAGAUGGUUCUGCUAUCACUCUUGGGAUGGGACCUGCGGUGCAUUAGCUAGUUGGUAGGGGUAACGGGCCUACCAAGGCGAUGAUGCAUAGCCGAGUUGAGAGACUGAUCGGCCACAUUGGGACUGAGACACGGCCCAAACUCCUACGGGAGGCAGCAGUAGGGAAUCUUCCACAAUGGACGCAAGUCUGAUGGAGCAACGCCGCGUGAGUGAAGAAGGUUUUCGGAUCGUAAAGCUCUGUUGUUGGUGAAGAAGGAUAGAGGUAGUAACUGGCCUUUAUUUGACGGUAAUCAACCAGAAAGUCACGGCUAACUACGUGCCAGCAGCCGCGGUAAAAU